GGGUUGUGAGGUUAAGCGACUAAGCGUACACGGUGGAUGCCCUGGCAGUCAGAGGCGAUGAAGGACGUGCUAAUCUGCGAUAAGCGUCGGUGAGGUGAUAUGAACCGUUAUAACCGGCGAUUUCCGAAUGGGGAAACCCAGUGUGUUUCGACACACUAUCAUUAACUGAAUCCAUAGGUUAAUGAGGCGAACCGGGGGAACUGAAACAUCUAAGUACCCCGAGGAAAAGAAAUCAACCGAGAUUCCCCCAGUAGCGGCGAGCGAACGGGGAGGAGCCCAGAGCCUGAAUCAGUGUGUGUGUUAGUGGAAGCGUCUGGAAAGGCGCGCGAUACAGGGUGACAGCCCCGUACACAAAAAUGCACAUAUUGUGAGCUCGAUGAGUAGGGCGGGACACGUGGUAUCCUGUCUGAAUAUGGGGGGACCAUCCUCCAAGGCUAAAUACUCCUGACUGACCGAUAGUGAACCAGUACCGUGAGGGAAAGGCGAAAAGAACCCCGGCGAGGGGAGUGAAAAAGAACCUGAAACCGUGUACGUACAAGCAGUGGGAGCCUCUUAAUGGGGUGACUGCGUACCUUUUGUAUAAUGGGUCAGCGACUUAUAUUCUGUAGCAAGGUUAACCGAAUAGGGGAGCCGAAGGGAAACCGAGUCUUAACUGGGCGUUAAGUUGCAGGGUAUAGACCCGAAACCCGGUGAUCUAGCCAUGGGCAGGUUGAAGGUUGGGUAACACUAACUGGAGGACCGAACCGACUAAUGUUGAAAAAUUAGCGGAUGACUUGUGGCUGGGGGUGAAAGGCCAAUCAAACCGGGAGAUAGCUGGUUCUCCCCGAAAGCUAUUUAGGUAGCGCCUCGUGAAUUCAUCUCCGGGGGUAGAGCACUGUUUCGGCAAGGGGGUCAUCCCGACUUACCAACCCGAUGCAAACUGCGAAUACCGGAGAAUGUUAUCACGGGAGACACACGGCGGGUGCUAACGUCCGUCGUGAAGAGGGAAACAACCCAGACCGCCAGCUAAGGUCCCAAAGUCAUGGUUAAGUGGGAAACGAUGUGGGAAGGCCCAGACAGCCAGGAUGUUGGCUUAGAAGCAGCCAUCAUUUAAAGAAAGCGUAAUAGCUCACUGGUCGAGUCGGCCUGCGCGGAAGAUGUAACGGGGCUAAACCAUGCACCGAAGCUGCGGCAGCGACACUAUGUGUUGUUGGGUAGGGGAGCGUUCUGUAAGCCUGUGAAGGUGGCCUGUGAGGGUUGCUGGAGGUAUCAGAAGUGCGAAUGCUGACAUAAGUAACGAUAAAGCGGGUGAAAAGCCCGCUCGCCGGAAGACCAAGGGUUCCUGUCCAACGUUAAUCGGGGCAGGGUGAGUCGACCCCUAAGGCGAGGCCGAAAGGCGUAGUCGAUGGGAAACAGGUUAAUAUUCCUGUACUUGGUGUUACUGCGAAGGGGGGACGGAGAAGGCUAUGUUGGCCGGGCGACGGUUGUCCCGGUUUAAGCGUGUAGGCUGGUUUUCCAGGCAAAUCCGGAAAACCAAGGCUGAGGCGUGAUGACGAGGCACUACGGUGCUGAAGCGACAAAUGCCCUGCUUCCAGGAAAAGCCUCUAAGCAUCAGGUAACAUCAAAUCGUACCCCAAACCGACACAGGUGGUCAGGUAGAGAAUACCAAGGCGCUUGAGAGAACUCGGGUGAAGGAACUAGGCAAAAUGGUGCCGUAACUUCGGGAGAAGGCACGCUGAUAUGUAGGUGAAGCGACUUGCUCGUGGAGCUGAAAUCAGUCGAAGAUACCAGCUGGCUGCAACUGUUUAUUAAAAACACAGCACUGUGCAAACACGAAAGUGGACGUAUACGGUGUGACGCCUGCCCGGUGCCGGAAGGUUAAUUGAUGGGGUUAGCGGUAACGCGAAGCUCUUGAUCGAAGCCCCGGUAAACGGCGGCCGUAACUAUAACGGUCCUAAGGUAGCGAAAUUCCUUGUCGGGUAAGUUCCGACCUGCACGAAUGGCGUAAUGAUGGCCAGGCUGUCUCCACCCGAGACUCAGUGAAAUUGAACUCGCUGUGAAGAUGCAGUGUACCCGCGGCAAGACGGAAAGACCCCGUGAACCUUUACUAUAGCUUGACACUGAACAUUGAGCCUUGAUGUGUAGGAUAGGUGGGAGGCUUUGAAGUGUGGACGCCAGUCUGCAUGGAGCCGACCUUGAAAUACCACCCUUUAAUGUUUGAUGUUCUAACGUGGGCCCCUAAUCGGGGUUGCGGACAGUGUCUGGUGGGUAGUUUGACUGGGGCGGUCUCCUCCUAAAGAGUAACGGAGGAGCACGAAGGUUGGCUAAUCCUGGUCGGACAUCAGGAGGUUAGUGCAAUGGCAUAAGCCAGCUUGACUGCGAGCGUGACGGCGCGAGCAGGUGCGAAAGCAGGUCAUAGUGAUCCGGUGGUUCUGAAUGGAAGGGCCAUCGCUCAACGGAUAAAAGGUACUCCGGGGAUAACAGGCUGAUACCGCCCAAGAGUUCAUAUCGACGGCGGUGUUUGGCACCUCGAUGUCGGCUCAUCACAUCCUGGGGCUGAAGUAGGUCCCAAGGGUAUGGCUGUUCGCCAUUUAAAGUGGUACGCGAGCUGGGUUUAGAACGUCGUGAGACAGUUCGGUCCCUAUCUGCCGUGGGCGCUGGAGAACUGAGGGGGGCUGCUCCUAGUACGAGAGGACCGGAGUGGACGCAUCACUGGUGUUCGGGUUGUCAUGCCAAUGGCACUGCCCGGUAGCUAAAUGCGGAAGAGAUAAGUGCUGAAAGCAUCUAAGCACGAAACUUGCCCCGAGAUGAGUUCUCCCUGACUCCUUGAGAGUCCUGAAGGAACGUUGAAGACGACGACGUUGAUAGGCCGGGUGUGUAAGCGCAGCGAUGCGUUGAGCUAACCGGUACUAAUGAACCGUGAGGCUUAACCUUACAACGCCGAAG
rnacentral:rRNA from 1 species